GGUUUCAUCCUUCGUGUAUGGGCAUGGCCAUUGAAGAAGCGAAGAAAUUGGACCAUUUCUUAUGCUCUGAUUGUUCAUCCGAUGAUGAUGCCAAAAGGUCUUUAAACUCUUUUCCGGUGUCACCUGCUGAUGAGAGAAAGGUGGAGCCGAAGCGCAGAAAGAGGUGACACGUUGGUACAGAGGCAUCACGAGGUUGUGCCCAUUUCUUGCAUAGCACAGCACAUAGUAGCUCUAGCAUAUUUGUUUGUACAGUGACAGCGGCUUUUUCCCACGGAUAUCUAUGGCUACCUUCGUUGUCUAUUUACCGCGUCUGCACUGACUUGAGAUAUUUAACUCUUCGCCUCCUUAUCGUGUGCACGAACGCGAAUGGAGCGCUAAAAACACACGAAGCGUUGUCUUUAUUAGGAUGCAGAGGGUGUCUA